rnacentral:tRNA from 1 species
UGCAGGGUAGAGAAACGGUAUCUCGUUAGCCUCAUAAGCUGAAACACAGCGGGUUCAACUCCUGUCUCUGCAUCCA